CGACCCAUUUAUAAUUAGGGUUUUACAUUUUACUAUAAAAGCCGAAACAAGCUUCACUCUCUCUUCCUAAUCGCAGUUGCUUCUGCGCAGUCUCAUUAGGUUUUCUCUCAUCAAAUUCUCAUCCGUUUUCAAGAAUCAUGCGUGCCAAGUGGAAGAAGAAGCGUAUGAGGAGGUUGAAGAGGAAGCGCCGAAAGAUGAGACAGAGAUCCAAGUAGUGUGUUUGUUCUUCGACAACAUCAAGUGAUCUUAAGUUUUGUUUUUCAUUUUCUGUGUUGUUUUUGUUUUUAAUUAAUCAGACUUAUUAUUAUAUGUUAAGAGAGUAGUAUCGGAUUUUCUCUCUCGUUUUGGUUUUGUAUUAGCUCAAAAGAUAUUCUUCUUUAUGGAAUUCGGUAGUUUUAUUGCUCUGAAUCUCGUUCGGUUGUGGUUUAAUUUUUUA